UCUAAGUCAGAGUUAGAAAAAUAUCUUGCAGAAGAUAUUGAAAUUGGAAGACAAGAUUUUAAAAUAUUGCUUUGGUGGGAAGUUAACUCACCUAGAUUCCCCAUCCUUUCUGAGAUGGCUCGAGAUGUGUUAGCUAUUCCUAUUUCAAGUGUGGCAUCCGAAUGUGCUUUUAGUACUGGAGGGCGUGUUCUUGAUUCGUUUAGGAGUUCAUUAACUCCUAAAUUGGUACAAGCUCUAGUGUGCCUUCAAGAUUGGAUUCGGAGUGAACCAACUCCCGUAAGUAUUGAGCAAGAUUUAGAUUCCCUCGAGCAACUUGAAAAAGAUAUGGCCAAUCUUGGAAAAGAACCUUCUGCUGAUGACAUGUAGAAGUGUAGAUUGUUAAGACAUGAAACUUUGGUUUAACCAUGCCUCAACUUUGUGGUCCUAAAGCUCGAUCACCUGUUUGGGAUCACUAUGGAAAGCUUGAAGAAAAUGAUGAUGGAUGGUGCACCAUGCAGUGCAUUAAUUGUGGUUUUUGUUUUGUUGACUUGACUAGAACUAUUAGGACUAUGUUUGGAUUAAUUUUCAGGUUCUUUGGCAGUUUAACUGUUGUUUUUGGUUUUCUGAAAUUCUGAUGGUGCUAGACAAAUUAUUGCUAACUACAACACCACUUGCAUUAGCUACUUUCAGUUUUGAAGUUAUUAAUAUGGAAUGGUAACUUAUAUUUUAUCUGGUGCUAAUAUGUUUUCAAAUGUUGAUGGCAGCCUAGCCUUAUUAGACUGUAUACUUGUGCAUUGCUAGAUUUUUGGUGUUGUGGUGCUGCAUUUUUAUGAGAUUAAAUGGAAGGAGAAAUUUACUACAUGUUUCCUUUUAGAAUUUCAUAAGCUUGUUUAUUCAUGGAGUUGAAGAGAACUGGAAAGCAGAGUAGAAAUAUUCAUACAAUUACUGAGAAGCAAAUGUCAUAGUAAAGAAGGAUGCUCCAGGACUGCCUGAAGGUGUUUUGAAUAUCAUAUCUGGUUUUGGUUCCAUAGCUGGUGCUGCUCUCUGUAGUCAUAUGGAUGUGGAUAAGGUACACUUUUUAGUUUUUUUUUUUUCAUUCCUUUCUGUGUGAAGAUCUCAAAUUCGUGACUUUUCAGCUUUUACUUCUUCAUAUGGUGGAAAUCGUUUUGGUUUGAAAGAUCCCUCAAUUUGAUAUUAUUAGUUUUUCAUUCCUUUCUGUCUCAUUGGCUGAUAUGACUGAAGAUAUCAAUUUGAGAUAUAGCAUGACUGUCGCCUUUUUCUUUUAAUUAGAAUCCAAUAAGCUUUGUUUCAUUGAUGUAAAUUGUAGAUCCAAAUAUGAUAUUAGUUUGUUGAUGCCAGCUUGUAGUGUGUUUA